GCGUCUGUCCUCUAAUAGAUAUGGCUCUCGACCAAUGAUCGAAAUCGCAUGAAUUCUUAAGGUUAUUAUAUAAUAUGUCAUAGAUAAGUAUUAAAAAGUUACGCCCUUCUGUUUCUGCUCAAUUUUUAUAAGAAUUACAAAAUCGGUCUACAAAAUUAAUUUAAAAAGUUCUGAUAUUGGUCAAAGAGUUUUGUAGAUUGUAAAUUUUAUAUACUAUUUAAAACACGAGUGGGAGUGUUUUAUCAGGUUAUGAAUUAUUAAUGAAUAUUUUAAAUGUAUUUAAAAUACUCAUUAAUAAUUCAUAAACCUUGUGGAGAAUCACGUCAGCCAUAAUAUGUCACGUGGUGACGUGGAGUGACUUUAUAUCUGAUACAACUCAUCUUCAUUAGUACCCUUUAUAUAAUUGUUCAUCCUAAUUAGUAUUCUUUUGUAGUAGAACUUUAAGCUAUUCAAAACACUCGUUGUCGUUUUUUAUCAGACAUAAAACGCUCGACUGCGUCUCUCCUGAUAAAACACUUCUACUUGUGUUUAAGUAGUACUUAUUAGACCUAACCAUGUGCAGUUGCGAAAAAUCUUAAAUGCAAUCAUAGACCUUUAAGGUGGAGUUACACGAGGGACAAAAUUGCUGCAACUUGCAACAAAAUCUGAUUUCAACGCAUGUUAAGUAGAAAUAUCGUCACAUGUUGCCUUGUGAUUUGUAAUUUAUGCCGAGUAAACAUUUUCAAUUAACAUGCGUAGAAAUUAGAUUCUGUUGCAAGUUGCGGCAAUUUUUGUACGUUGCUCGUGUAACUCCAGCUUUAGGCAAGAAUCGAAACAGCGGUCCUGCGAUUCCGGUGCAGCGCUUUUAACAACUGAGCUACAGAGUCCAGUUAUCGAGCUCUGACAACAAGUUCAUGUAUAUACUAGGGUACUGCAAUGUUAAGGUAUGAGUAAAUAUCAAAAUUUUGUUGCCAUCUCACUCGAUUGAAUAAUAUAGUUGAAGGGUUUGUAGAUGGAAAUCACCGAAAAUUUAUAAAAUUUCCCCUGAAUAAUUUCAUCUACAAAACACCUCAACUAUUAUGAUGUUUGUGAUGUUACUCUGAGUGUAUAUCCACACCGGGCGAGCUUGAAAAAUAUGCCCGGCCACGGUGGGAAUCGAACAUACGACCUUUGGAAUACUAGCCCAAUGCUCUACCAACUGAGCUACGCGGUCAGGAC